AAAAUAGUAAGAUAAAUAAAUCUAUCUCUCUUCCAAAGAGAAAAUGGUAAAUCCCUAUUUUA
rnacentral:tRNA from 1 species